rnacentral:rRNA from 1 species
GUGUCAGCAGCCGCGGUAAAACGUAGGUGGCGAGCGUUAUCCGGAUUUACUGGGCGUAAAGCGUGUGCAGACGGACGAUUAAGUGGUGUAUGAAAGCAUCAGGCUCAACCUGGUGUCGCUAUGCCAGACUGGUCGUCUUGAGGAUGGGAGAGGGACGCGGAAUUCCGGGUGUAGUGGUGAAAUGCGUAGAGAUCCGGAGGAACCCCAGAGGCGAAGGCGGCGUCCUGGCCCAUAUCUGACGUUCAGACACGACAGCAUGGGGAGCGAACGGGAUUAGAUACCCCAGUAGUCC